CUUACUGGCCAGAAGGGAAGAAGUAUUCUUUCAUUGGUUGUUGUGUGUUGCCUUGUCAACCAAUCAGAGGAUGCCAUUUAUCCUUUUCUGACUAGCUAGGUGAGCAGGGUA
rnacentral:pre_miRNA from 1 species